rnacentral:rRNA from 1 species
UCGUCAGCUCGUGUCGUGAGAUGUUGGGUUAAGUCCCGCAACGAGCGCAACCCUUGAUCUUAGUUGCCAGCAUUCAGUUGGGCACUCUAAGGUGACUGCCGGUGACAAACCGGAGGAAGGUGGGGAUGACGUCAAAUCAUCAUGCCCCUUAUGACCUGGGCUACACACGUGCUACAAUGGGCAGAACAAAGGGCAGCGAAGCCGCGAGGCUAAGCCAAUCCCACAAAUCUGUUCUCAGUUCGGAUCGCAGUCUGCAACUCGACUGCGUGAAGCUGGAAUCGCUAGUAAUCGCGGAUCAGCAUGCCGCGGUGAAUACGUUCCCGGGCCUUGUACACACCGCCCGUCACACCACGAGAGUUUGUAACACCCGAAGUCGGUGAGGUAACCUUUGA